GACGUAGGAUGCGAGCGUUGUCCGGAUUUAUUGGGCGUAAAGAGUUCGUAGGUGGUUUGUUAAGUCUGAUGUUAAAGACUGGGGCUCAACCUCGGAAAUGCAUUGGAUACUGGCAGACUGGAGUGUAGUAGAGGCAAGCGGAAUUCCCUGUGUAGCGGUGAAAUGCGUAGAUAUUGGGAAGAACACCGGUGGCGUAAGCGGCUUGCUGGGCUAUAACUGACGCUGAGGAACGAAAGCUAGGGGAGCAAAUGGG
rnacentral:rRNA from 1 species